GGGGCCGGGCGCCCUCCCCACCCCCACGAGGGCCGCGGCCGUGGGGCGCUGGUAGCUCUCCCGCCCCUCCGCCCUGCACCCCUCCCGCCCUGGGGCUCCUUCUUGGACUGCGGCUGCAGCCUUCUCUCCCCGGAGGGCUCAGAGUUCGUCCCCUUUUCGCGGUUGGGAACGUGGACACGCCGGAGCCUGGAUGCAGAAGGGCACGCGGAAGCAUGAAGCUGCUGCGCGAGCCGCAGCCCAGAGUCCAGGCCGCACCACUCUGCUGAUCCAAAGGACUACGAAAACCCUGCGCGCCGACGGUGGCCUGGGAGUUGGCGCGGGCCUUGGCGCUAGAAAACGAAUCCCACUCCCAGAAAGGCGGGCCGCAUAUCCCGCUCCUGCCUCCUGGAGAAUUAGUUCGGCGGAGUCCGUGGCCGGGGAGGGAGGGAGAGUCAGGCCUUGGGGCGACGAAUCGGGUAGGGAGUAGCUUCUAGGGGGCUCCCUUGCCUACGGAAGGCCGGCGAGGCUGCCCUCAGAGCGCCGCCAGGUACGUGCGUUUUCCUUGUUUCCCGCGCGCCCAGAGCGCACUCUGGGGAGAGAAUGAAUAAAAACCCAGCUGGUGUGUAGGAGAUUUUCGCAGCAAACGUGUCUCUUUCUGAGGGGUCCUGGGACGGCAGCCGAACUCCGGGUAGCCCCUGCGCUGUGUCCUGGAAUCCCUACUGGGCUCUCCACCACCCGCAGGAUCCGGCUUGGAGCCAGUCCCCGUGGAAAUGCGCGUCGCUUUAUUCUAAGGCCCACGAAAUUUACCCCGGACGCGGGAAACCCGGGCUUGGCUCCUGCUGCGCUCCGGGUGUCCAGGAACGAAUCCCUCCGGGAUCCGGGAACUCCAGAUUUGCGGGGUUAGGAGAUACCCUCAGCGGACUGAGUUGUGGUUUUUUUGUUGGUGGUGGUUUGUUAUUUUUCAGCAUCAGAAGAGCCUGAUAGUUGAACUGGAGCGGGCCCCCGUCCCCUCCCCCAUACCCACUUCAAACAAAAGAGCUCCUCCGAGAAUAUUUUUUAGGGGGAGAGUGCUUCUGAAUGUGGACCCGUAGUUCUCCCCGCCCCCCGUUCCUAGGAAGGACAAGGGUUUUAUAUGUGUGUUUAAAACAAAGGGGAAUCUUGGCGCGAGUUGCCGGGAAAGGGGCGCUUUUAUUUCGGAGUUCUUGAAGAAUUCACAUUCUUUUCUCCCAAGUUUGCUGCAGUUGAGCCAGAAGUGUCCCCAGUGGCUUACCCGAUAGUGGGAUUUUACACGGUGUCGGCUGAGGGUGGCUUUGUAAGAAGACCGUUUCAGAAGAGGAAGCGAGCCUCUGGCUGGUGGGGUAGAAACCCCUGUGGAAUGAAAAGUACUCCCAAGUCUCUUUGCGGAAGAUUGCAAAGUAAGGUGGGUUGUUUUUCUUUUGUCCCAUCCUUCCCACCCCUUAAGUUAGAACAAAAGGUUUCCAAGGGUACAGCGCCGGGUGGACGUUUGGAAGCUGCGAGUGGAAUGAAUCUCUCGUUUAAAAACUUCGGGACCCCCACGCACACCAAGUGUCUAUCUCCGUCGUAGUUUGGGUGAGGAAGAAUGUGACUUUCCAGAGUCGGGUAGAGCACGGAUCCCACCAUGGAGAGAAGGUCCCGGCGGGGGUAAGGCUCCUCUUUCUAGGACAAAGCGAUCCCUAAUUGUGGCCAGAGUCCCGGGCGAAUUCGCUGCGCGCGUCUGUCUGCCCGCGCGGCGCUUGGUGGGUAGUCCCGCUUCCACCAAAACUCUGUAUUUCGUUUCUCUCAAAAUAAAACUCAACAAGCCAUAAAGCUUCCGACGCCGGUGGAGAAGGCGCCGCGGAUUUAUGGCCCCCGAAUUCCCCACUCUCUAAUUAUCCUUGUGUUUACUUGACUUAUGGGUAGUGACCAAUAAAAUCAUUUUCCAUUUUGGA